rnacentral:rRNA from 1 species
CACAAGCGGAGGAGCAUGUGGUUUAAUUCGAUGAUACGCGAGGAACCUUACCUCGGGCGUACGAACGUAAGAUGACUGUAGGUGAAAGCUUACAUCUCUUCGGAGCAUUUUACGAGGUGCUGCAUGGUUGUCGUCAGCUCGUGCCGUGAGGUGUCGGGUUAAGUCCCAUAACGAGCGCAACCCUACCUUUAGUUGCCAUCAGGUAAUGCUGGGGACUCUAAAGGAACUGCCUACGCAAGUAGUGAGGAAGGCGGGGAUGACGUCAAAUCAGCACGGCCCUUACGUCCAGGGCUACACACGUGCUACAAUGGCCGAUACAGAGGGCAGCUACCUGGUGACAGGAUGCAAAUCUCCAAAGUCGGUCUCAGUUCGGAUCGGAGUCUGCAACCCGACUCCGUGAAGUUGGAUUCGCUAGUAAUCGCGCAUCAGCCAUGGCGCGGUGAAUACGUUCCCGGGCCUU